rnacentral:rRNA from 1 species
ACGCGAUGAACCUUACCAGGUCUUGACAUCCUCUGACACUCCUAGAGAUAGGACGUUCCCCUUCGGGGGACAGAGUGACAGGUGGUGCAUGGUUGUCGUCAGCUCGUGUCGUGAGAUGUUGGGUUAAGUCCCGCAACGAGCGCAACCCUUGAUCUUAGUUGCCAGCAUUUAGUUGGGCACUCUAAGGUGACUGCCGGUGACAAACCGGAGGAAGGUGGGGAUGACGUCAAAUCAUCAUGCCCCUUAUGACCUGGGCUACACACGUGCUACAAUGGACGGUACAAACGGUUGCCAACCCGCGAGGGGGAGCUAAUCCGAUAAAACCGUUCUCAGUUCGGAUUGUAGGCUGCAACUCGCCUACAUGAAGCCGGAAUCGCUAGUAAUCGCGGAUCAGCAUGCCGCGGUGAAUACGUUCCCGGGCCUUGUACACACCGCCCGU